rnacentral:rRNA from 1 species
UACAGGGGGUGCAAACGUUGCUCGGAAUCAUUGGGCGUAAAGCGCACGUAGGCGGUUCGUUAUGUCGGAUGUGAAAGCCCUUGGCUUAACCGAGGAAGUGCAUCCGAAACUGGCGAGCUAGAGUACUAAAGAGGAUCGCGGAAUUCCCGGUGUAGAGGUGAAAUUCGUAGAUAUCGGGAGGAACACCGAUGGCGAAGGCAGCCCCCUGGGUUAACACUGACGCUCAUGCACGAAAGCGUGGGGAGCAAACAGG